rnacentral:lncRNA from 1 species
UAGCAGAUGUCUGCUGGAAGUACAAUACCGCAGAGAAGACACAAUCCAGGCAGUUCUUAGAGGGUAUGGAAGAUAACUUCCUAACCCAGCUGGUUAGUGAGCCAGUUACGGGAGCUGCCCGGCUGGUUUUGCUGUUCACAACAGAGAAGAAUUCGUGGGUGAUGUGAUGGUUGGAGGCUGUCUUGGGUAAAACGAUCAAGAAAUGGUUGAAUUUUCAAUCCUUGGAGAAGUCAGGAAGAAGGUCAGCAAAACCUCCACCUUAGACUUCCGAAGGGCUGACUUUGGCCUGUUUAGGACGCUGGUUGGCAGAAUUCCUUGGGAAACAUUACUGAAGGACAAAGGGGUCCAGGAAGGCUGGGCACUCUUCAAGAAUGUACUCCUCAAGGCGCAGGAGUAGGCACUCCCCAUUUGCCAAAAAUCAGCCUGGCAGGGAAGAGACCAGCCUGGCUGAACAGGGAGAUAGUGCUGGAACUCUCAAGGAAAGAAGAGAAUCUAUCACCUGUGGAAGAAGGGACUGUCGCCCAUGAGGAGCACAAGGAUGUUGUUAUGUUAUGUAGGGAGAAAGUCAGAAAGGCGAAGGCACAGCUGGAAUUAAAUCUGGCCACUGCCAUAAAAGAUAAUCAAAAAUACUUUUACAAAUACACUAGCACUAAAAGGAGGGCCUAGGAGAACCUCCAUCCUCUACUGGAUACCAGCGGAAACCUAGUGACUGAGGAUGAGAAAAAGGCUGAGGUACUUCAUGCUGCCUUUGCCUCAGUCUUUAACAGUCCCACCAGCCGUUAAUAGUCACAACAGGGUACUCAGUUCCCUGAGUUGGAUGGCACAGAUAGGAAGCUGCCUGAAGUCCCCAUAAUUUGAGAAGAAAUGGUUAGUAACCUUCUGCUCCACUUACACGUAUGCAGGUCUAUGGGGCCGGAGGGGUUGCACCCAAGAGGGCUUAAGGAGCUGGCAGAGGAGCUUGCUAAGCCACUCUCCAUCAUCUAUCAGCAGUCCUGCUCCAGUGGGCAGGUCCCAGAGGACCGGCACCUCCAGGCCUCUCAGCCUGAGCUCGGUGCCAGGGAAGGUCAUGGGGCAGAUGAUCCUAAGACACAUCACACAGCACAAGUGGGAAAACGGGGGGAUGAGGCACAGUCAGCAUGGGCUCAUGAAGGGCAGGUCCUGCUUGACCAACCUGAUCUCCUUCUAUGACAAGGUGACCCACUGGAUUGAUGAGGCAGAGGCUGUAGACAUUGUCUAUUUGAAGUUUAAUAAAGCAUUGGACAGUGUCUCC